rnacentral:rRNA from 1 species
UGGGGAAUUUUGCACAAUGGGGGAAACCCGGAUGCAGCGACGCCGCGUGAUUUAGAAGGCCUUCGGGUUGUAAAAAUCUUUUCUAUGGGAAGAAAAGGACAGUACCAUAGGAAUAAGGACCGGCUAAUUACGUGCCAGCAGCCGCGGUAAUACGUAAGGUCCGAGCGUUGUCCGGAAUCAUUGGGCGUAAAGGGUACGUAGGCGGGUAAGCAAGUUAGAAGUGAAAUCCUAUAGCUCAACUAUAGUAAGCUUUUAAAACUGCUCAUCUUGAGGUAUGGAAGGGAAAGUGGAAUUCCUAGUGUAGCGGUGAAAUGCGCAGAUAUUAGGAGGAAUACCGGUGGCGAAGGCGACUUUCUGGCCAUAACCUGACGCUGAGGUACGAAAGCGUGGGUAGCAAACAGG